rnacentral:rRNA from 1 species
GAUGAACGCUGGCGGCGUGCCUAAUACAUGCAAGUCGAGCGAACAGACGAGGAGCUUGCUCCUCUGACGUUAGCGGCGGACGGGUGAGUAACACGUGGAUAACCUCCCUAUAAGACUGGGAUAACUUCGGGAAACCGGAGCUAAUACCGGAUAACAUGUUGAACCGCAUGGUUCAACAGUGAAAGACGGUCUUGCUGUCACUUAUAGAUGGAUCCGCGCCGCAUUAGCUAGUUGGUAAGGUAACGGCUUACCAAGGCAACGAUGCGUAGCCGACCUGAGCGGGUGGUCGGCCACCCUGGAACUGAGACACGGUCCAGACUCCGACGGGAGGCAGCAGUAGGGAAUCUUACGCAAUGGGGGAAAGCCUGACGGAGCAACGCCGCGUGAGUGAAGAAGGUCUUCGGAUCGGAAAACUCUGUUAGUAGGGAAGAAGAAAUGUGUAAGUAACUAUGCACGUCUUGACGGUACCUAAUCAGAAAGCCCCGGCUAACUACGUG